ensembl:lncRNA RNF32-DT RNF32 divergent transcript
ACAGCCCUGGUACUUCUUCAGUCCUGGGAUGGGACGUAUGAUUAGCCUAAGCGAACCAGAAAAUCCAGGCCCGUGACCAGUGACUUGAUCAGGGCUGGCGAUAUAUCUAGGUGACCAGCAUCAUGUCCCACCGGGUCCCCUGCAGUCCCAGUGCACCUGCCUGCUCAUCCAGGGACCUGUCCUCACUGCCUGCUGCCUGCACUGUGUGGAAGGACAGAGGCUAAACGACGAAGCCUCGAGCUCUGGUCUCAUGGAAAUGGCAGCCUGCCCACCACCCACGCUUGCCCAGCCUUUCUUCACGCAUUUUCCUAUUAACUCUUUCCAAAGAACCUGUUGAUGGUCUUCAGAUUCCUGGAGGCAUUUAGGGAGGGAGCAAGUUUGGGAGAGGAGUGAAUUCACCUGGGCUGCAGCCCACUGCUGAGGACAGACCCUCCAGGGAUACAGGUGUCAAGUCCAUCAAUGGGCUCUGACCCACUGGAGAAAGGGCAGCAUCAACCAUUGGCCAGGCUGCGGGACCAAAGCUGACUUAUGAUGGUGUCAUCGGGGAAGAAUAUUUCUCAGCCCUCCGUUCUCAAGACAGAUGAGUGCUUUAGAAAGAGGACUCUGCAGCGGUGAGGAGGAUGGAAUGACAGGCAAAGCACGCAGGACCAGGAGAUGGCUUCGUUCCCUCAAUCACUCAUCCAAAGACGUUUAAUGAGCACCUAUUGUGUGUCAGGCAUUGUACCGGGCAAUGGGGAUAUCGUAGUCAGUAAUAAGUGAGGAGAGAUGAGUUCAUUUGUGAGAGGCUCUGACCAGUGGAAUCAGAGGAAGGGAGUUCCCCUGGGUGGGCCAGGUUCAAAGACAUUUUGGAAGUAGAAUCUGCAGAACAUGAUGAUCUUUUGGAAACAGGGCAGGGACGUGAAUGAGCACGUAAUGUCCCCAUGGGUUUGUCUUUCCGAAGGUUUAAAAUCCUCAAGAAUAAGGAACAUAGGCAUGUGUCGUAACGGUCUCCACAGUGGGGGAGUAUUAUGUUAGUGCACCUGCAUGUUAACUCUGCUCAUGAAGGGGCCACGUCUUCACCACCACAAAGCCUCAAGCAUGCAUAUCUGGUCCCUCCAACCCCCUCCCUAUUGAGGUGCAAUAAAGGCCC